UGAUUUUUGUUGUUCGGUGUGAUUCUCUGAGUGAAGAUAAUGCACAAAGGAUCAGAGGUUGUCUUGCAUCAAAUUUGUAGUGUUUGAAGGAAACAGCUUUGGAAAGAAACUCAUGGUGUUUACUAGUUCCUGGAAGAUGCAGAUCUCUCCAGCAGCUUGUAGUUUUUUGUCUUAGCAGGUGAGGUUGAUGGCCUAGAGGAUCCCAACCAGUCUGAUGUUUCUAUGACUCAUUCCAGUGAAAUCACUGAAAAUAUUGACAUUCAGUGGAUCUCCAUGUUGUCAUUGAGAGGGAAGCAAUAUACAGCAUCUAGAAGCUGCUAUGUUGAAGAAAGUUGUAUAGAUUCAAUAAUAAAAAUAGAAGAGAAAUUUUCCAA